AUGGGAACUGUGUUUAGCUGUGGUGUAUAUGCCAAAAAAAAUACCUUAGGCUUUACUGGCCUCUGUAAGUACAAUGUGCUCUUAAUCUACUCUCUUACUAGGUUGAUAGUAGCAGAACUAGUCACAACAAUAACUAGCCUCUAUAAAUGCUUGCUGUGUACCAACUCAUUUAAUCCUCACAUCACCCCCAUUUUACCAAGCAGAAAACUGAGGCACAGAGAAGUUACGUAUCUUGUUCAAGGUCACACAGUUGAACCUAGCAGUGGGCUUGAAAGCCUGCCCUUUUAACCACUAUGCUAUGAGCAUCUCAUGGAAAGGAAUGUUGUAGAAUGACACAUCCUAUGUUUUUAUUAAACAUGAGUGUUUAAAAGCAGAUUGCCUGGAUUCAAAUCUUUGACUAGUUAUAUGAUGUGAGGCAACUUACUCAAUCUUUCUGUGACAGUUUUCUCAUCUGGAAAAUGGGAACCAUCAUAAUACCUCUCUCAAAGUAAUAUGGGCAGGAUUAGGUGUAAAACUCUUAGAAGACCACCUGGUUCAACAUGGUCAACAUUUAGUAAGUGUCUUCUUUUCAUUUGUGAAGGUCAAGUAUCCCAGGUUGAUUCUCUUAAACUUGAUCCAUGUACUUUUCUGUGGUAUUGAUGCACCACUCAGUUCACUCUGCCAGAAUAUAUGUAUGUUGUCACCAGAUAGCCCAGGGAACAAAUAGCCCUUCUCACAAUCCAAAAGAUUACAGUUGCCAGGGUCUCCCUUCCUUUAUCAGAGCUCUUAAUCAAAAUGCUAUGUGUGCAUGUGUGUAUGUGUCUGUGUAUGUGUGUGUGUGUUUGUAACUCUAGGGAGGGAAUAAUGCUUGGGUUUAAUAAAGUAUUGAUUAUAACUUAGUAUACUUGUAAAAUCAAAGAGCAAAAGUCAAAAGCAUUUUAAAAUGAGCUCAGAAAUAAAAUGGAAGUAUACUAUCAACAUCACUAAAUACAAAAUCAAACUCUCACAACUUAUAAAUUGGAACAUUUGAUAAUUUGUAAAAGUGCUUAGCACUGGCAUACACAGCCAAUUACGAUACCUGCAUACAUUCUCUGGACUUGACUAUGUGUUUCUGACUGUGAUGUUAAUGGCUUCUCCGAAGAGGUUAAAAGCAUAUUGAAAGCAGCAAUCGAUGCAACUGUAUUUAUAUGUAAUAAUUUGCUCAAAUAUUAGAAUACACCUUAAACAGAAGCACACUCCUCAGACUACAAGAUAAAAGACACAUCACAUUGAUAAAUAUUGCUGGUUGUCUUUGAUUUUAACCUAAUGACAAUGAUUUUUUUUUUAGUAUAGCACAUGUACAGAUUGUAUUAUUAAUAAUAUUCCAAUGCUAAAUUCUGGUAAAUCAAAAUGUAUUCAUAAAAAUCCUUACAGAAAUUUGAGCAAAAUUUUCAGAAAUUCUUAGCCUAAAUUACCACUUAUUUAAGCUGGCCACAUUUUUAUUUCAGUGAUUUUUGGCCACGUUGAAGUCAUGACCGGUUUCCCUGGGAAGUCAACAGAAGUUUGGCAGGUGCGUGAGCUCCGCAGGGCAGAGAGCAAGAGGAGAGGUGAGCUCAGAAGGUAAUCGUAAAAUUUGGACACCUCUCUGCAGCUUUAAUGACUCAAACCUAAAAUAGUACUCAGGGAAAGACAGAGUUUGGAAGAAUUUUGAAUUGGGAGUUGGCUAUUUUGGUUGUUUUCUUCUGAUCUGGAAACACUGGGGGAGGGGUGGUUCUUCUACUGAAGUAAACAGGAAUUGUACACAAAGCAGGACUCACAUAAGAGUGAGGGGAUGUCCUACCAAUGCCCACGAUGACCCACUAACAUCCAGAUUUCUACAGUGGAGUUCCCUGGCCUUUACAUAGCAGUGGGCAAGUCCAUGAGAAACAAUGUGGCAGGUGGACUAAGGAAAAAUGGAAGCAUGAUGUGGAUUUUCUUUUCUUUGCAUCUCUUUGUUUUGAUCAUACUGCUCUUUAUCAAAAUGCCUUUCUUCAAUUUCCUCAGCCCAGCAGUUUGAAUAUUUGCAUGAAGUAGGCACAUAUCACUACAUAUGAGCCAUGAAAUGUAUUUGAAA
rnacentral:lncRNA from 1 species